UCAAGGAAUUAAGAGUUUAUGGGGGAUACCUUGGCAUUCAGAAGCGAUGAAGGACGUGGUUACCGACGAAACGCUUCGGGGAGCUGGAAACAAGCUAAGAUCCGGAGGUCUCCGAAUGAGGAAACUUUAAUACUACUUAUUGAAUCCAUAAAUAAGAAAGAGCGAACCUAGGGAAUUGAAACAUCUUAGUACCUAGAGGAAUAGAAAGUAAAAACGAUUCCCUUAGUAGCGGCGAGCGAAACGGGAAAAGCCUAAACUUAAUUAAAAUUAAGGGUAGCGGGACAAUUGUGAAUGAUUAAAUGUGACAAUUAGAUGAACCUAGUUGGAAUGCUAGACCAAAGAGAGUGAUAGUCUCGUAAUCGAAAAUUGAAACAAUCAAAUUGAAUCCCAAGUAGCAUGGAGCACGUGAAAUUCCGUGUGAAUCAGCGAGGACCACCUCGUAAGGCUAAAUAUUCCUGAAUGACCGAUAGUGAAAUAGUACCGUGAGGGAAAGGUGAAAAGAACCCCGGGAGGGGAGUGAAAAGAACAUGAAACCAUAAACUUACAAUCAGUAGGAGGACGACUAAAACGUCUGACUGCGUGCCUGUUGAAGAAUGAGCCGGCGACUUAUAGGUAGUGGCAGGUUAAGGCAGAGAAUGCUGGAGCCACAGUGAAAGCGAGCCUGAAUAGGGCGUUUGUCACUAUUUAUAGACCCGAACCCGGAUGAUCUAACCAUGGUCAGGUUGAAGCUUAGGUAAUACUAAGUGGAGGACCGAACCGACUGAUGUUGAAAAAUCAGCGGAUGAACUGUGGUUAGGGGUGAAAUGCCAAUCGAAUUCGGAGCUAGCUGGUUCUCCCCGAAAUGCGUUUAGGCGCAGCGAUAGAUGUUAUAACUUAGGGGUAAAGCACUGUUACGUAUGCGGGCUGGUAAUUCGGUACCAAAUCGUUGCAAACUAAGAAUACUAAGUGUAAAGUCUAUCAGUGAGACUGUGGGGGAUAAGCUCCAUUGUCAAGAGGGAAACAGCCCAGAGCACCAGUUAAGGCCCCUAAAUAAUUACUAAGUGGCAAAGGAAGUGGGAGUGCAUAGACAAUCAGGAGGUUUGCUUAGAAGCAGCAAUCCUUUAAAGAGUGCGUAAUAGCUCACUGAUCGAGUAAACCUGCGCCGAAAAUGUACGGGACUAAGUAAUUUGCCGAAACUGUGCGAUAUAGAAAUUAUAUCGGUAGGGGAGCGUUCUGUGGUAGGUUGAAGUAUUAGCGGAAGCGGAUAUGGACGAAGCAGAAGUGAGAAUGUCGGCUUGAGUAACGAAAAUAUAGGUGAGAAUCCUAUACCCCGAAAACCCAAGGGUUCCUCCGGAAGGCUCGUCCGCGGAGGGUAAGUCAGGACCUAAGGCGAGGCUGAAAAGCGUAGUCGAUGGACAACGGGUUAAUAUUCCCGUACCGUUAUUUGUUGAUAUCGAGGGACGGAGAAGGCUAAACUGGCCGGAUGUUGGUUACCGGUUGAAACGUUCGAGAUGAUGAGAAACGGCGAAAACGUUUUGAGUUGAGACGUGAGUACGAGAGGCUACGGCCUCGAAGCAGUCUAUGUCAUACUUCCAAGAAAAGCUCGCAAUGUCAUAAACAAAUAAUGCCUGUACCAUAACCGACACAGGUGGGUAGGUAGAGUAUACUAAGGGGCGCGAGAUAACUCUCUCUAAGGAACUCGGCAAAAUGACUCCGUAACUUCGGGAGAAGGAGUGCCUUAUUUGUAAGGUUGCAAUAACAAGAUCCAAGCAACUGUUUACCAAAAACACAGGUCUCCGCUAAGUCGUAAGACGAUGUAUGGGGGCUGACGCCUGCCCAGUGCCAGAAGGUUAAAGAAGUCGGUUAGCAUUCGCGAAGCUGGUAACUGAAGCCCUGGUGAACGGCGGCCGUAACUAUAACGGUCCUAAGGUAGCGAAAUUCCUUGUCGGGUAAGUUCCGACCCGCACGA
rnacentral:rRNA from 1 species